rnacentral:rRNA from 1 species
CCUACGGGUGGCAGCAGUGAGGAAUAUUGGUCAAUGGGCGGAAGCCUGAACCAGCCAAGUCGCGUGAGGGAUUAAGGCCCUGCGGGUCGUAAACCUCUUUUGCCGGGGAGCAGUGGUCCGGACGUGUCCGGGCCGGGAGAGUACCCGGAGACAAAGCAUCGGCUAACUCCGUGCCAGCAGCCGCGGUAAUCCGGAGGAUGCGAGCGUUAUCCGGAUUUAUUGGGUUUAAAGGGUGCGUAGGCGGGCAUUUAAGCCGGCGGUCAAAUGUCGGGGCUCAACCCCGGCCUGCCGUCGGAACUGGGUGCCUUGAGUGGGCGAGAAGUAUGCGGAAGGCGUGGUGUAGCGGUGAAAUGCAUAGAUAUCACGCAGAACCCCGAUUGCGAAGGCAGCAUACCGGCGCCCGACUGACGCUGAGGCACGAAAGUGCGGGUAUCGAACAGGAUUAGAUACCCUAGUAGUC